UACGUAGGUGGCAAGCGUUGUCCGGAAUUAUUGGGCGUAAAGCGCGCGCAGGCGGUCUCUUAAGUCUGAUGUGAAAGCCCACGGCUCAACCGUGGAGGGUCAUUGGAAACUGGGGGACUUGAGUACUGGAGAGGAGAGUGGAAUUCCAUGUGUAGCGGUGAAAUGCGUAGAUAUCUGGAGGAACACCGGUGGCGAAGGCGGCAUCCUGGACCGGCAUUGACGCUGAGGCGCGAAAGCCAGGGGAGCAAACGGG
rnacentral:rRNA from 1 species